GACGAACGCUGGCGGCGUGCUUAACACAUGCAAGUCGAACGGAAAGGCCCUGCUUUUGUGGGGUGCUCGAGUGGCGAACGGGUGUGUAACACGUGAGUAACCUGCCCUUGACUUUGGGAUAACUUCAGGAAACUGGUGCUAAUACCUAAUAGGUGCUCCUGCUGCAUGGUGGGGGUUGGAAAUUUUCGGCGGUUGGGGAUGGACUCGCGGCUUAUCAGCUUGUUGGUGGGAUAGUGGCUUACCAGGGCUUUGAAGGGUAGCCGGCCUGAGAGGGUGACCAGGCACAUUGGGACUGAGAUACGGCGCAGACUGCUACGGGGGGCAGCAGGGGGGAAUAUUGCACAAUGGGCGGAAGCGUGAUGCAGAAACGCUGGGUUCGGGAUGCAGGCUUUCGGGGUGUAAACCGCUUUAGCCUGUGACGAAGCUGGAGUGACGUUAAUGGGUAAAGAAGCACCGGCUAACUACGUG
rnacentral:rRNA from 1 species